rnacentral:rRNA from 1 species
AUGUGCCAGAACCUGACUUCGAUCUCUUCAAAAUUCUGGUGGGCGGCAACGAAUGGUGAGCGGAAGGUACACUGGAUUUCGUGGAAGAAGAUGUGCGUGGCAAAACAAGAUGGUGGAAUGGGUUUUUGAGACCACGAGGCCUUUAACCAAGCGUUACUGGCAAAGCAGGCGUGGAGGAUCCUGCAGGCACCAACGUCUCUGUGCGCGCGUGUGCUGAAGGCUCGUUAUUUCAGUGACAACUCCAUCCUAACAGCAACAGCACCCUCAUCCGCCUCGUACACAUUCUGUAGCAUUCUUUAUGGACGGGAC